AUAGCUUGACACUGAACAUUGAGCCUUGAUGUGUAGGAUAGGUGGGAGGCUUUGAAGCGUGGACGCCAGUCUGCGUGGAGCCGACCUUGAAAUACCACCCUUUAAUGUUUGAUGUUCUAACGUGGACCCGUGAUCCGGGUUGCGGACAGUGUCUGGUGGGUAGUUUGACUGGGGCGGUCUCCUCCUAAAGAGUAACGGAGGAGCACGAAGGUUGGCUAAUCCUGGUCGGACAUCAGGAGGUUAGUGCAAUGGCAUAAGCCAGCUUGACUGCGAGCGUGACGGCGCGAGCAGGUGCGAAAGCAGGUCAUAGUGAUCCGGUGGUUCUGAAUGGAAGGGCCAUCGCUCAACGGAUAAAAGGUACUCCGGGGAUAACAGGCUGAUACCGCCCAAGAGUUCAUAUCGACGGCGGUGUUUGGCACCUCGAUGUCGGCUCAUCACAUCCUGGGGCUGAAGUAGGUCCCAAGGGUAUGGCUGUUCGCCAUUUAAAGUGGUACGCGAGCUGGGUUUAGAACGUCGUGAGACAGUUCGGUCCCUAUCUGCCGUGGGCGCUGGAGAACUGAGGGGGGCUGCUCCUAGUACGAGAGGACCGGAGUGGACGCAUCACUGGUGUUCGGGUUGUCAUGCCAAUGGCACUGCCCGGUAGCUAAAUGCGGAAGAGAUAAGUGCUGAAAGCAUCUAAGCACGAAACUUGCCCCGA
rnacentral:rRNA from 1 species